CAUUGAAGGGUUAGUCUUGCAGAGUACCUUUGUACUCAAGGUUUGUGUAACCAUUGUUGCGGUUGAAGAAGGUCAGUAGAUGACCUGUGCUUGGAGGAGGAAGCUCCCGAAGAUGAGGAAAGACAACUAUCUGAUGGUUUGUAAUAUCCCAUUGCUGUAAAUUAUUUGUUUAAAGUUGUAAUAUCUGUGACAAGCUCCUGCAUGUGCGAUCUGGAAUAUAUGGAUGUAUCAGUUGAAAGUGGAGUCUUUGGGUGAGUUGAGGACACCCGACGGACUAUCGGGUUUACACUGAUUCAAGUACGUGGUGUGUGUUGGACGCUCAGAGCCUGAAUCGACGUACUUGAGUUAGUUUAAACUGGACGGUUCUGCCACAUAUUGGAUUGCUUUUGAGGGGGUCCCUGCCUCUCUUUAUAUAUCUUGAGGCAGGGUUACAGAUCGCUUAUUACAAGAAUACUAGUCAUAUGCAACUAGAAGAAACCUACUCUUAUUUCAACAAGUACUUUACUUAUCCUCGACUAAUUCUAUCGAUUCCGUGAUCUACUAUGCCAUCUUGCACCAUAGUGUUCAU
rnacentral:lncRNA from 1 species